CUACGGGAGGCUGCAGUAAGGAAUAUUGGUCAAUGGGCGAAAGCCUGAACCAGCCAUGCCGCGUGAGUGAAGACGGCCUUCGGGUUGUAAAACUCUUUUCUAAGGGAAGAACCAGCAGGACAGGAAAUGGUCCCGCUCUGACGGUACCUUAGGAAUAAGGAACGGCUAACUCCGUGCCAGCAGCCGCGGUAAUACGGAGGUUCCAAGCGCUGUUCGGAUUUACUGGGCGGAAAGGGAGCGCAGGCGGAAGGGUCAGUCUGAAGUGGAAUCCCGGGGCUCAACCUCGGACGUGCUUUGGAUACUGCCCUUCUUGAGUCCGUGAGAGGAAAGCGGAAUUCAGGGUGUAGCGGUGAAAUGCUUAGAUAUCCUGAGGAACACCAAUGGCGAAAGCAGCUUUCUGGCACGUGACUGACGCUGAGGCUCGAAAGCGUGGGGAGCGAACGGGAUUAGAUACCCCGGUAGUC
rnacentral:rRNA from 1 species